UACGAAGGGGGGCUAGCGUUGCUCGGAAUUACUGGGCGUAAAGCGUGCGUAGGCGGUUCGUUAAGUCUGAUGUUAAAUAUCGGGGCUCAACCUCGGGAGUGCAUUGGAUACUGGCGGACUGGAGUGUGGUAGAGGUUAGUGGAAUUCCCAGUGUAGCGGUGAAAUGCGUAGAUAUUGGGGAAGAACACCAGUGGCGUAGGCGACUAACUGGGCCAUAACUGACGCUGAGGAACGAAAGCCAGGGGAGCGAAUGGG
rnacentral:rRNA from 1 species